ACAAGCCCUGGAAACGGGGUCUAAUACCGGAUAUUACCUUCCUCUGCAUGGGGGUUGGUGGAAAGCUCCGGCGGUGCAGGAUGAGCCCGCGGCCUAUCAGCUUGUUGGUGGGGUAAUGGCCUACCAAGGCGACGACGGGUAGCCGGCCUGAGAGGGCGACCGGCCACACUGGGACUGAGACACGGCCCAGACUCCUACGGGAGGCAGCAGUGGGGAAUAUUGCACAAUGGGCGAAAGCCUGAUGCAGCGACGCCGCGUGAGGGAUGACGGCCUUCGGGUUGUAAACCUCUUUCAGCAGGGAAGAAGCGAAAGUGACGGUACCUGCAGAAGAAGCACCGGCUAACUACGUGCCAGCAGCCGCGGUAAUACGUAGGGUGCGAGCGUUGUCCGGAAUUAUUGGGCGUAAAGAGCUCGUAGGCGGCCUGUCGCGUCGGUUGUGAAAGCCCGGGGCUUAACCCCGGGUCUGCAGUCGAUACGGGCAGGCUAGAGUUCGGUAGGGGAGAUCGGAAUUCCUGGUGUAGCGGUGAAAUGCGCAGAUAUCAGGAGGAACACCGGUGGCGAAGGCGGAUCUCUGGGCCGAUACUGACGCUGAGGAGCGAAAGCGUGGGGAGCGAACAGGAUUAGAUACCCUGGUAGUCCACGCCGUAAACGUUGGGAACUAGGUGUGGGCGACAUUCCACGUCGUCCGUGCCGCAGCUAACGCAUUAAGUUCCCCGCCUGGGGAGUACG
rnacentral:rRNA from 1 species